GACGUAGGGCGCGAGCGUUGUCCGGAUUUAUUGGGCGUAAAGAGCUCGUAGGCGGCUCGUUGCGUCGGCUGUGAAAACCCGCAGCUCAACUGUGGGCGUGCGGGCGAUACGGGCAGACGUGGAGUACUGCAGGGGAGGACUGGGAAUUCCUGGUGUAGCGGUGGAAUGCGCAGAUAUCAGGAGGAACACCGGUGGCGAAGGCGGGUCUCUGGGCAGUAACUGACGCUGGAGGAGCGAAAGCGUGGGGAGCGAACAGG
rnacentral:rRNA from 1 species